AGCAGUCGCCACGGUAAUACGAAGGGUGCAAGCGUUAAUCGGAAUUACUGGGCGUAAAGCGCGCGUAGGUGGUUUGGUAAGAUGGAUGUGAAAUCCCCGGGCUCAACCUGGGAACUGCAUCCAUAACUGCCUGACUAGAGUACGGUAGAGGGUGGUGGAAUUUCCUGUGUAGCGGUGAAAUGCGUAGAUAUAGGAAGGAACACCAGUGGCGAAGGCGACCACCUGGACUGAUACUGACACUGAGGUGCGAAAGCGUGGGGAGCAAACAGGAUUAGAUACCCGGGUAGUCCCUGUCUCUUAUAA
rnacentral:rRNA from 1 species